AGUCCUGUUCAGAAAUCCAGCCUAAAACCCCAAACAGCAACAGCAAGGCCAGGUGGACUGGGGACAGCAAGCAGUCAUCAUGUCAGGUAGUCCUGAGGCAUGGUCCUAGGGCUCAGGUCCUCCGAGAGAGAAAGAAAGAGAGAAUUAGAGAGAGCACACUUAAAUUCACACAGGACACCGAAUAGGAUAUCCUAGGACAUCAAUGGUUGACAUACACUGUUGAAGUGUAUAAAUUGUAAUAAAUACAGGAUAUUGACACCAGUAAGAUUGCACCUAAAUCAACCAUUUAUCGGAUCAUCAAGAACUUCAAGGAGAGCGGUUCAAUUGUUGUGAAGAAGGCUUCAGGGCGCCCAAGAAUGUCCAGCAAACGCCAGGACGUCUCCUAAAGUUGAUUCAGCUGCGGGAUCAGGGCACCACCAGUACAGAGCUUGCUCAUGAAUGGCAGUAGGCAGGUGUGAGUGCAUCUGCAUGCACAGUGAGGCGAAGACUUUUGGAGGAUGGCCUGGUGUCAAGAAGGGCAGCAUAGAAGCCACUUCUCUACAGGAAAAACAUCAGGGACAGACUGAUAUUCUGAAAAAGGUACAGGGAUUGGACUGCUGAGGACUGGGGUAAAGUCCGUUUCUAUAAUGAAUCCCCUUUCCGAUUGUUUGGGGCAUCUGGAAAAAAGCUUGUCCGGGGAAGACAAGGUGAUCGCUACCAUCAGUCCUGUGUCAUGCCAACAGUACAGCAUCCUGAGACCAUUCAUGUGUGGGGUUGCUUCUCAGCCAAGGGAGUGGGCUCACUCACAAUUUUGCCCAAAAACACAGCCAUGAAUAAAGAAUGGUACCAACACAUCCUCCGAGAGGAACUUCUCCCAACCAUCCAGGAACAGUUUGGAGACAAACAAUGCCUUUCCAGCAUGAUGGAGCACCUUGCCAUUAGGCAAAAGUGAUAACUAAGUGGCUUGGGGAACAAAACAUCGAUAUUUUGGGUCCAUGGCCAGGAAACUCCCCAGACCUUAAUCCCAUUGAGAACUUGUGGUCAAUCCUCAAGAGGCGGGUGGACAAACAAAAACCUACAAAUUCUGACAAACUCCAAGCAUUGAUUAUGCAAGAAUGUGCUGCCAUCAGUCAGGAUGUGGCCCAGAAGUUAAUUGACAUCAUGCCAGAGCGGAUUGCAGAGGUCUUGAAAAAUAAUGGUCAACACUGCAAAUAUUGACUCUUUGCAUCAACUUCAUGUAAAUUGUCAAUAAAAGCCUUUGACACUUAUGAAAUGCUUGUAAUUAUACUUCAAUAUUCCAGAGUAACAUCUGACAAAAAUAUCUAAAGACACUGAAGCAGCAAACUUUGUGGAAAUUAAUGUGUGUCAUUCUCAAAACUUUUGGCCACGACUGUAGCUAGCUACAUUAUUUCAUAUGUCUGCAUUGCAUGGCAAAUAUCAACAAAGCAAGCUUACAAAAUUGUACAUUCAAUUUGCAGUAAAUAGUUUAGCUGGUUUUGCCGGUUGUUUCAGGAGUCCCUAAAACAUUAAAACAACCAGAAUUACAAUUUCAUACUCAUGUCACAACACCCAUAAAGCCAGCCGGCUAUUGUUAGCUUGCUAAAUCGCGAUUUUCGUAAAUUAACUUCAUGAUUAAAAAAUAUGCAUAAUCGUUUGUCUCCACAUUAACAUAUUCUUAUCAACUGUACAUUUUAUGCAUGAUUUGUUAUGACCUUAUAAUCACUUACAUUUGCUUCCAUCCUAGUAUAUUUGUCAGCCAUCUUCCCUGAAGAAAGUCUCCAGCCUUGGGUCGCACAGCUUCAAAUUCAUCAUGGGAACCACUCGCUAUGAUUGGUCAUCGCCCAGCGGUCGCCGCUGGUGAUUAUCACAAAGUGGGUAAAAGUUGUAUCUUUUUCGCCACCUUCGCACCGCCCUCUCCGCGUUCCUUCCAUUGAAAUGAAUGGGAAACUGUGUUUCACCGCGCGGCAUCCUGUGCUAGUGUUUCAUGCCCGUAAAAGAGAACCAAGGGAAGUCAUGUUUUUUAUUGGAUAAACGGUCGUCUGAAAGUUCAAAAUGCAUUCUAAAGGUACAAAUAUGAAAGAAAAUAACAUUCUACCACAUUGAUAGACUUAAUAAUAAAAAGACAACCAUGAUCUUGAAGAGUAAGAACAUUAAGCAAAGAACAGGAGGUUGGGUUCCAGAGUGUGAUAGGAGGAGAGGGUAGGGGUAGGAGGAGAGGGUAGGGGUAUAGCAGAGGAUAGGGGUAGAGGUGGGAGGAGAGGAUAGGGGUAUAGCAGAGGAUAGGGGUAGGAGGAGAGGGUAGGGGUACAGGCAGGAGGAGAGGGUAGGGGUAGAGGUAGGAGGAGAGGAUAGGGUAGAGGUAGGAGGAGAGAGUAGGGGUA